AGCAGCCGCGGUAAUUCCAGCUCCAAUAGCGUAUAUUAAAGUUGUUGCAGUUAAAAAGCUCGUAGUUGAAUUUCGGGAUCAGUACGUCGGUCGUGCCUCCGGUAUGUACUGGCGUUACUGAUUUCUCCCUUCUGGUGAACCAUGAUGUCAUUAAUUUGGUGUUGUGGGGAGCCAGGACUGUUACUUUGAAAAAAUUAGAGUGUUUAAAGCAGGCAAACGCUUGAAUACAUUAGCAUGGAAUAAUGAAAUAGGACGUUCGAACCUAUUUUGUUGGUUUCUAGGAUCAACGUAAUGAUUAAUAGGGAUAGUUGGGGGCAUUAGUAUUCAAUUGUCAGAGGUGAAAUUCUUGGAUUUAUUGAAGACUAACUACUGCGAAAGCAUUUGCCAAGGAUGUUUUCAUUAAUCAAGAACGAAAGUUAGGGGAUCGAAGACGAUCAGAUACCGUCGUAGUCUUAACCAUAAACUAUGCCGACUAGGGAUCGGAUGAAGUUAAUUUUUAAUGACUCAUUCGGCGUCUUAC
rnacentral:rRNA from 1 species